GACGAACGCUGGCGGCGCGCCUAACACAUGCAAGUCGAACGAGCGAGAGAGAGCUUGCUUUCUCGAGCGAGUGGCGAACGGGUGAGUAACGCGUGAGGAACCUGCCUCAAAGAGGGGGACAACAGUUGGAAACGACUGCUAAUACCGCAUAAGCCCACGGCUCGGCAUCGAGCAGGGGGAAAAGGAGCAAUCCGCUUUGAGAUGGCCUCGCGUCCGAUUAGCUAGUUGGUGGGGUAACGGCCCACCAAGGCGACGAUCGGUAGCCGGACUGAGAGGUUGAACGGCCACAUUGGGACUGAGACACGGCCCAGACUCCUACGGGAGGCAGCAGUGGGGAAUAUUGCACAAUGGGGGAAACCCUGAUGCAGCGACGCCGCGUGGAGGAAGAAGGUCUUCGGAUUGUAAGCUCCUGUUGUUGGGGAAGAUAAUGACGGUACCCAACAAGGAAGUGACGGCUAACUACGUG
rnacentral:rRNA from 1 species